UACGGAGGGUGCAAGCGUUAAUCGGAAUUACUGGGCGUAAAGCGCACGCAGGUGGCUGAGUCAGUCGAUUGUGAAAGCCCUGGGCUUAACCUGGGAAUUGCAGUCGAUACUACUCAGCUAGAGUGCGGGAGAGGAAAGUGGAAUUCCUGGUGUAGCGGUGAAAUGCGUAGAUAUCAGGAGGAACACCGGUGGUGUAGACGGCUUUCUGGACCGUAACUGACGCUGAGACACGAAAGCGUGGGUAGCAAACAGG
rnacentral:rRNA from 1 species